rnacentral:rRNA from 1 species
AUGUGUGCCACAGUGCGAGACUCUGUGCAUCGUAGCGUGGUACAGGAAACUAGUAGGGGACAGCGGUAUGCUUUGAGGCAGGGCAGGCAAAGAAAGCAUUUGUUGUGUGUAAGCGUAGAGAGUGCACAUGGAGGGGGGUUGUUGUUGGGAUAUGGGUGCAGAUUCCUGGUCCAUGCCAUGCAGCAUGAGCAUGAUCAUGAGCGUGAGAUCAAGAACUCGGCUCUACUCGGAUGGAAAAAGGACUUGGCUGUCCCAUUUGGACAAGUAAUCAUCUCCUGCUAUCAUCUGCUAGUAGCUAGCAUGGAUAUAUUAUUAUCUACUGUUAGUUCAAAGUGA